UUGGGCGUAAGAGCUUGUAGGCGGUUUGUCGCGUCUGCCGUGAAAGCCCGGGGCUUAACCCUGGGUCUGCGGUGGGUACGGGCAGGCUAGAGUGUGGUAGGGGAGACUGGAAUUCCUGGUGUAGCGGUGAAAUGCGCAGAUAUCAGGAGGAACACCGAUGGCGAAGGCAGGUCUCUGGGCCACUACUGACGCUGAGAAGCGAAAGCAUGGGGAGCGAACAGGAUUAGAUACCCUGGUAGUCCAUGCCGUAAACGUUGGGCGCUAGGUGUGGGACUCAUUCCACGAGUUCCGUGCCGUAGCUAACGCAUUAAGCGCCCCGCCUGGGGAGUACGGCCGCAAGGCUAAAACUCAAAGGAAUUGACGGGGGCCCGCACAAGCGGCGGAGCAUGCGGAUUAAUUCGAUGCAACGCGAAGAACCUUACCAAGGCUUGACAUACACCGGAAUGUGCCAGAGAUGGUGCAGCCUUUGGGCUGGUGUACAGGUGGUGCAUGGUUGUCGUCAGCUCGUGUCGUGAGAUGUUGGGUUAAGUCCCGCAACGAGCGCAACCCUCGUUCCAUGUUGCCAGCACUUCGGGUGGGGACUCAUGGGAGACUGCCGGGGUCAACUCGGAGGAAGGUGGGGAUGACGU
rnacentral:rRNA from 1 species